rnacentral:rRNA from 1 species
UUUUUUAAUUGAGGACUGGAAUGAAAGGUAGAUACUGAAGGGAAGGUUUUUUAAGAUAAAUUUGAAUUUAAUUUAAAAGUAAAAAAGCUUUUAUAAAUCCUUGGGACGAGAAGACCCUAGAAGUUUUAAAUAUUUAAUAUUUUUGAUUGGGGCAAUUAUUGAAGAUAUAAAUUUUUAAUUAAAUUUAAUUAGUGAAUUAGAAAUUACUCUAGGGAUAACAGCGUUAUUUAAUUUAUGAGUUCUUAUUAAAAAUUAAGUUUGCGACCUCGAUGUUGAAUUAAAAUUAAUUUAUGGUGAAGGGGCUAUAAAUAUUUAGUCUGUUCGACUAUUAAAAUUUUACGUGAUCUGAGUUCAGACCGG